GCCGCUUAGCAUCAUCUUCCAUCAUGUUUGCACUCCAUUCAACAUAUUUAGCUAGACCAUUUUCUACAAGAUCCAGAGCCAGGUCCUUUGCUGAUUCCCCAUCUGGGUAAUAAACUGAUCCGAUCAAGUUGCUGAAUUUAUCAACUCCUUCCAGGACAAUACGGACAUCUCUAUUUAAAGCACGUUGCUCAGUAAAAUAUUUGGC
rnacentral:misc_RNA from 1 species